rnacentral:rRNA from 2 species
UACAGAGGGUGCGAGCGUUGUCCGGAAUCACUGGGCGUAAAGGGCGCGUAGGCGGUCUGGUAAGCGUGUGGUGAAAGCUCGGGGCUCAACCCCGAGUCGGCCGUGCGAACUGCGAGACUGGAGCAGAUCAGAGGCAGGCGGAAUUCCGGGUGUAGCGGUGGAAUGCGUAGAGAUCCGGAAGAACACCGGUGGCGAAGGCGGCCUGCUGGGAUCUUGCUGACGCUGAGGCGCGACAGCGUGGGGAGCAAACAGG